UUACGUGUUGAAUCAGAAAAUGACUUAGCUCAGCAGUAAUAUCAACUACAGAGAACAAUGUCAUUUUGUCUGAAGGCUAAACUGUGUCCAUAGCUGAGGGAAGGAGACCGAUAGAAGGCAUAGCCAUGGUUUUUAUUCUGGCUUCAUGCAGGUGAGGGGUGAAAGAACUCAGUUCCUGCGGUAUCCUUCCUGCAGUGUGUGAAACAGGGGCUAGUACUUCUGGGAGGUAUAUGCUGUUCCAGCAUUACUCUUUAAAUAAACAUAAUGAUUUUUUUUACCUAUUUACUAUAUUCAAAUUAUUAAUUAUUCUCUUUGCUUUCACAUGUCAUUUGAUUAGGAUUUAAUUAUCCAUCCCAUAUGUAAGCAUCAUAAUGUCCACUUGCACACCAAAGAAUGAAGUAUGGUCAUUCUGAGCAGAAAUAAAAGAUACUUAUGUACAAACAGACAACCAGGUGAAAAUUCUUCUGCAAGGUGCACUAGAAAGUUGCAUUGUAGGGAUGUUAAAUCACCUGGCGACUCAAACCACAUAAUGAGACAAAGGGCUGAACAGGACUAACUAGUCACACUUGACUUUGAUCACUUGGAGAACAAUCCAGAUGGCUCACACGUGUGAGUUUUCCAUCUUCUUUAGAUGGCUUAUGAGGGUGGGUUGUAGUAGCUCUGGGUUUUGAAAUCUCAGGUGCACUCCUUAAUUACACCCUCUUUCUAUCUCCUUUACGAUUACGAUUUAGCACUUGUAGGGAUUUUAUACCAUAGGCAAACCAUUUCCCCAGACCAUAUCAGUUUGAUCCCUGCUUUGCUCUGUGCUUUCUGCUUUUGAUAUUGGCGCAUCAAUUCUGGUGAUAGGCAACAUGGGAGAUUUUUCCAUAUGACCUCAAGGAUACCUAAACAAGAGGAAUGUAAGAAGGCACCUUUUGUUUCCCAACAAAGCCAAACUGUAGAUGUCUAGACUCAACACCUCCUUCCUCUGCCUUCAAUAAUAUUUUCCUAAAAAUGUUGAAUGAUGAAUCAGAAUAUAUUUUUAUGGAAAAUUACAUACUUUCUUAGGAGAACAUGUUCCUCCCCUUCAUUCCAGAAAAUGUUUAGAAUCCUUCUAAAUGUCCAAGCUAGUGAGUGUUUUCCUAAAAUACUUCCCAACAGCAGCAUUGGAGGCUGUUAUUACCUAUGGUGUUGUACAACCACCUUUCCACACACUUCCAGGCUGGGUUCUUAGACACUGUAUGGAUUAUUUCAAUACUUAUGAAAUUUAAUCAUACUUUGACCUGACAAAACCCCUCUGCUCUGCUUUCCAAAUGAUUUUAACCUUGUAAUAUGACUAAUUUGAAUGGUGUGAAAUUAUUUUAUCAUGUAAUGUCAUUUUCACCUAAACAGUACAAUUAAGAUAUUUAAAACUAAAGAUCCAAUCAUUUUACAAAUUCCUAAAAAUAAGUGAUAGAUUUUGUAUACACUAGUACAUCCUCCACAUAAAAAGUAGUUUUGUGUAUUU
rnacentral:lncRNA from 1 species